AGUGAACGCUGGCGGUAGGCCUAACACAUGCAAGUCGAACGGCAGCACAGUAAGAGCUUGCUCUUACGGGUGGCGAGUGGCGGACGGGUGAGGAAUACAUCGGAAUCUACUUUUUCGUGGGGGAUAACGUAGGGAAACUUACGCUAAUACCGCAUACGACCUACGGGUGAAAGCAGGGGAUCUUCGGACCUUGCGCGAUUGAAUGAGCCGAUGUCGGAUUAGCUAGUUGGCGGGGUAAAGGCCCACCAAGGCGACGAUCCGUAGCUGGUCUGAGAGGAUGAUCAGCCACACUGGAACUGAGACACGGUCCAGACUCCUACGGGAGGCAGCAGUGGGGAAUAUUGGACAAUGGGCGCAAGCCUGAUCCAGCCAUACCGCGAGGGUGAAGAAGGCCUUCGGGUUGUAAAGCCCUUUUGUUGGGAAAGAAAAGCAGCAGGCUAAUACCCCGCUGUUCUGACGGUACCCAAAGAAUAAGCACCGGCUAACUUCGUG
rnacentral:rRNA from 1 species